rnacentral:rRNA from 1 species
CCCUAUGGGGUGCAGCAGGCGAGAAAACUUUGCAAUGUGCGAAAGCACGACAAGGUUAAUCCGAGUGAUUUCUGCUAAAGAAAUCUUUUGCAAGUCAUAAAACCACUAGUGAAUAAGGGGUGGGCAAGUUCUGGUGUCAGCCGCCGCGGUAAAACCAGCACCUCAAGUGGUCAGGAGGAUUAUUGGGCCUAAAGCAUCCGUAGCCGGCUCUGUAAGUUUUCGGUUAAAUCCAUGUGCUCAACGCAUGGGCUGCCGAAAAUACUGCAUAGCUAGGGAGUGGGAGAGGUAGACGGUACUCGGUAGGAAGGGGUAAAAUCCUUUGAUCUAUCGAUGACCACCUGUGGCGAAGGCGGUCUACCAGAACACGUUCGACGGUGAGGGAUGAAAGCUGGGGGAGCAAACCGGAUUAGAUACCCGGGUAGUCCCAGCUGUAAACGAUGCAGACUCGAUGAUGCAUUGGCAUAUAGCCAGUGCAGUGUCGCAGGGAAGCCGUUAAGUCUGCCGCCUGGGAAGUACGUACGCAAGUAUGAAACUUAAAGGAAUUGGCGGGGGAGCACCACAAGGGGUGAAGCCUGCGGUUCAAUUGGAGUCAACGCCAGAAAUCUUACCCGGAGAGACAGCAGAAUGAAGGUCAAGCUGAAGACUUUACCAGACAAGCUGAGAGGAGGUGCAUGGCC